AUGCAGCCACUCCAGCUUUCACGCAUGAGAUACGACAGAAAACUACCGAUAAGUUCCCUUGGCAUUGCUCUCGUGAUGCUCAUGUCCUUGGCCUCUAUCACUAGCUCCUGCACAGAGCAAGAGAAGGCCUCCCUCCUCAAGUUCCUCGCUGGGCUCUCACAGGAUGGUGGCCUUGCCGUGUUGUGGCAGAACGGCACAGAUUGCUGCACGUGGGAAGGGAUCACCUGCAACAUGGAUGGGACGGUUACUCUGAUGUCUCGCUGGCUUCCAAGGGUCUUCAGGGGUAUAUCUCACCUACUCUUGGCAGCCUCGCCGGAUUGUUGCGACUCAAUCUGUCAAACAACAUGCUGUCCGGUGGACUACCACAAGAAUUGGUGUCUUCCGACAGCAUCGUCGCCAUCGACAUCAGCUUCAACCACCUAG
rnacentral:rRNA from 1 species